GAAAAGCCUUUGUGAUAAGUUUGAUAGAGAGAAGACGUAAAUUUUAAAUAUUUAAGAUAGUUCUCUGUUUUCCAUUUCUAUUACAUUGUUACUCGUCCUGUCAAUUGUACAUCUAUUUGUUCAAAAGACCGCUGCACUAGAAUGUUUCAGCUGUCAGGCUAUAAACGAUGUUAAUAUUUGCAACAAUACACUGGAAUGUAAGGAUGGACAGGCUUGCUUUCUAAAUACUUCGUCGACAAAUAAACAUCACAUGAACGUACUGGGUUGUAUCGACAAUCAGCAAUGCACAGUCCAUGGAGAUAUUCCAGCCACUAUAGUAGGCAGGGAUCUUUAUACGAGACAAAGAACUGGCUGUCUUGAAUGUUGUUCCAGUGAUCAUUGCAAUAAAAAUUUAUGUGAACAUCUGAAACGUACGUAUUUUUCAUUGAGUGACUU